GAAAUGCGAUACGUAGUGUGAAUUGCAGAAUUCCGUGAACCAUCGAAUCUUUGAACGCAAAUUGCGCCUGCGGAUUCGUCCAAAGGCAUGUCUGCCUCAGCGUCGGCGCACCUCUCUCGCCCCCUUUUCCUUGUUUUCACGAACAAGCGUUUUUGGGGCGUGGACCUGGCCCUCUCGGCGCGUCUGCUUUUUUGUUUUCAAAGAAGCGGUUCCGGCGCCGUGUUGGCUGAAACGCAGAGGCUUGAGCAGCGACCUCGUGUUGUCACGACACCUGGGCGACGGCUUGGUAGGUCGGGCUUGUCCCACACCCCCGCCGCCGCCUUGUGGUCCUGCUGGGAGCCGCGCAGGAAAUUUUUUCACUUAAAUUUCGACCUGAGCUCAGGCAAGGCUACCCGCUGAA
rnacentral:misc_RNA from 1 species